rnacentral:rRNA from 1 species
GGGCCCGCACAAGCGGUGGAGUAUGUGGUUUAAUUCGAUGCAACGCGAAGAACCUUACCAGGGUUUGACAUCCUGCGAAUCUCUUGGAAACGAGAGAGUGCCUUCGGGAACGCAGUGACAGGUGCUGCAUGGCCGUCGUCAGCUCGUGUCGUGAGAUGUUGGGUUAAGUCCCGUAACGAGCGCAACCCUUGUCCUUAGUUGCCAGCACGUCAUGGUGGGAACUCUAGGGAGACUGCCGGUGACAAACCGGAGGAAGGUGGGGACGACGUCAGGUCAUCAUGGCCCUUACGACCUGGGCUACACACGUGCUACAAUGGCUGGUACAGAGGGUUGCGAAGUCGCGAGGCGAAGCUAAUCCCCAUAAACCGUGGCUCAG